rnacentral:rRNA from 1 species
GCUCAACCGGGGAGGGUCAUUGGAAACUGGGAAACUUGAGUGCAGAAGAGGAGAGUGGAAUUCCACGUGUAGCGGUGAAAUGCGUAGAGAUGUGGAGGAACACCAGUGGCGAAGGCGACUCUCUGGUCUGUAACUGACGCUGAGGAGCGAAAGCGUGGGGAGCGAACAGGAUUAGAUACCCUGGUAGUCCACGCCGUAAACGAUGAGUGCUAAGUGUUAGGGGGUUUCCGCCCCUUAGUGCUGCAGCUAACGCAUUAAGCACUCCGCCUGGGGAGUACGGUCGCAAGACUGAAACUCAAAGGAAUUGACGGGGGCCCGCACAAGCGGUGGAGCAUGUGGUUUAAUUCGAAGCAACGCGAAGAACCUUACCAGGUCUUGACAUCCUCUGACAACCCUAGAGAUAGGGCUUUCCCUUCGGGGACAGAGUGACAGGUGGUGCAUGGUUGUCGUCAGCUCGUGUCGUGAGAUGUUGGGUUAAGUCCCGCAACGAGCGCAACCCUUGAUCUUAGUUGCCAGCAUUCAGUUGGGCACUCUAAGGUGACUGCCGGUGACAAACCGGAGGAAGGUGGGGAUGACGUCAAAUCAUCAUGCCCCUUAUGACCUGGGCUACACACGUGCUACAAUGGACAGAACAAAG